AGCUUUGUGCAGUGACAAUAUGGUAGCCAAUGAGGUUUAUCCUCGGUGCGGUUAUCGCUAAUUGAAAACUUUUUCCAAUAGCCUGCCAUGACAACUUGCAAGAUAGUCAGCAUUGGCAAUUUUUGACAGUCACUAUGGAGA
rnacentral:snRNA from 1 species